GGGGAAGUAUUGCGCAAUGGGCGAAAGCCUGACGCAGCGACGCCGCGUGUGGGAUGACGGCCUUCGGGUUGUAAACCACUGUCGGGAGGGACGAAUGCGCCGCAAGGCGAGUGACGGUACCUCCAAAGGAAGCACCGGCUAACUCCGUGCCAGCAGCCGCGGUAAUACGGAGGGUGCGAGCGUUGUCCGGAAUCACUGGGCGUAAAGGGCGCGUAGGCGGCCUGGUAAGUAGGGGGUGAAAUCCUGCGGCUUAACCGCAGGGCUGCCUUCUAAACUGUCAGGCUCGAGCACAGUAGAGGCAGGUGGAAUUCCCGGUGUAGCGGUGGAAUGCGUAGAGAUCGGGAAGAACAUCAGUUGGCGAAGGCGGCCUGCUGGGCUGUUGCUGACGCUGAGGCGCGACAGCGUGGGGAGCAAACA
rnacentral:rRNA from 1 species